rnacentral:misc_RNA from 1 species
AAAGUCGUAACAAGGUUUCCGUAGGUGAACCUGCGGAAGGAUCAUUAUCAAUGAUAUCCAUCAUACACCGUGAACCGCCCGGCUCCCGGGGCAACCUGGGGUCGGGCAUUAAACUCUAUACCUUAUAGCAGAGUCAAUUAGUAACACUAAUACGACAACUUUUAGCAACGGAUCUCUAGGUUCUC